CCGCACGCGCGCUACACUGACAGANCCAGCGAGUANAUCACCUUGGCCGAAAGGUCUGGGUAAUCUUGUUAAACUCUGUCGUGCUGGGGAUAGANCAUUGCAAUUNUUGCUCUUCAACGAGGAAUGCCUAGUAAGCGCAAGUCAUCAGCUUGCGUUGAUUACGU
rnacentral:rRNA from 1 species